UUGGAGGGCAAGUCUGGUGCCAGCAGCCGCGGUAAUUCCAGCUCCAAUAGCGUAUAUUAAAGUUGUUGCAGUUAAAAAGCUCGUAGUUGAAUUUCGGGAUUAGUACGCUGGUCGUGCCUUCGGUACGUACUGGUGUUACCGAUUUCUACCUUCUGACGAACCAUCAUGUCAUUAAUUUGGUGUGGUGGGGAAUCAGGACUGUUACUUUGAAAAAAUUAGAGUGUUUAAAGCAGGCUCGCGCUUGAAUACAUUAGCAUGGAAUAAUGAAAUAGGACGUUGAUCCUAUUUUGUUGGUUUCUAGGAUUGACGUAAUGAUUAAUAGGGAUAGUUGGGGGCAUUAGUAUUCAAUUGUCAGAGGUGAAAUUCUUGGAUUUAUUGAAGACUAACUACUGCGAAAGCAUUUGCCAAGGAUGUUUUCAUUAAUCAAGAACAAAGAUUAGGGGAUCGAAGACGAUCAGAUACCGUCGUAGUCUUAACCAUAAACUAUGCCGACUAGGGAUCGGAUGAUGUUAUUUUUAAUGACUCAUUCGGCGCCUUACGGGAAAC
rnacentral:rRNA from 1 species